AUUUGAUUUACUGUAACACCCUCCUCUAGAGUUUUACCUCCUAAAGGACACUUAAGUGAUCUCUUUCUCCAACUAUUCUUCCUGAUGUCUCUCUCCCUCAGUAAUGAGGAGGCAGCAGAGUUGCUGGGAGAGUAUCCCUUUGGACUGCAGCAGCUGAUGGAGAUCUGGGGCCAUGUCUGUGCCAUCGCUAUCAACAAGGCCUUCCCCCUGAGUUCCCUGAAGAGGCAUCCUACAGUCUUGGUGAUCUGUGGUCCCAGUCAGAACGGAUGUAUUGGUCUGGCCUGCGCUUACGCACGUUUGUGAGUAACCUGCCAGUGGAGUGUGUGUUUUUCCGAACUAACUAAAAGGCACUUCCUUGACACCCAGUCCCUCUUCUUCUCCACCUAUCUCUGUCUUUGUGUCAGGACUAUAUACCCACGGUGUACUACCCUAAGUGCUCUAUUCUUGCCUUGCACCGGGACUUUACAGCAGUGUGAGAGAACUGACAUCCCUUUCCUCUCAUUUCUCCCCGCAGAGGUAAGGGAACUACUGUGAAUCAAUGAAUGCUAACCAAGGUUCAUUUUUUUAUGGUAGAGUCCUACAGCAGCAUCUUGCUCUCCCUCAGACACCGAGGCAUCCCCAUCGCGGACAUCCCCUCAUGUGACCACAACGUAUACACACACUUGGAUGAAAGCAUCAAGACAGCCUAAUCAAUAAUAAAAUGCUUGAUAUGAUAUCUACCUGCAGGAUUACCAGGGGCUAAAAACCUAUCCGAGGGUGGGACGAGGCCAAUGUCGACUGUAUAAACCCAGCAGUGCGCUGUCUGUUUCGGUGGGACACAUUACCUGGUGGGACCCGUGCUUAAUUUGAGCCUGAUCCUGUUCAUCUCUGUUUUGGACUGUUUUGUUCAGGAACCCAUUUGCUUUUCCUGACGAGACAUUUUCAGUUUGCAAUGUAAAA